rnacentral:rRNA from 1 species
GUCCACGCAGUAAACGAUGAAUACUAGCUGUUGGCGAUAUAAUGUCAGCGGUACAGCGAAAGUGUUAAGUAUUCCACCUGGGGAGUACGCCGGCAACGGUGAAACUCAAAGGAAUUGACGGGGGGCCCGCACAAGCGGAGGAACAUGUGGUUUAAUUCGAUGAUACGCGAGGAACCUUACCCGGGCUUGAAAGUUAGUGACUGACUUGGAAACAGGUCUUUCCUUCGGGACACGAAACUAGGUGCUGCAUGGUUGUCGU